UACGUAGGGUGCAAGCGUUGUCCGGAAUUAUUGGGCGUAAAGAGCUCGUAGGCGGUCUGUCGCGUCGGAUGUGAAAACCCAGGGCUCAACCCUGGGCCUGCAUUCGAUACGGGCAGACUAGAGUUCGGUAGGGGAGACUGGAAUUCCUGGUGUAGCGGUGAAAUGCGCAGAUAUCAGGAGGAACACCGGUGGCGAAGGCGGGUCUCUGGACCAGCACUGACACUGAGGCACGAAAGCGUGGGGAGCAAACAGG
rnacentral:rRNA from 1 species